rnacentral:rRNA from 1 species
CCUACGGGGGGCAGCAGUGAGGAAUAUUGGUCAAUGGACGAGAGUCUGAACCAGCCAAGUAGCGUGAAGGAUGACUGCCCUAUGGGUUGUAAACUUCUUUUAUAUGGGAAUAAAAUGUUCCACGUGUGGGAUUUUGUAUGUACCAUAUGAAUAAGGAUCGGCUAACUCCGUGCCAGCAGCCGCGGUAAUACGGAGGAUCCGAGCGUUAUCCGGAUUUAUUGGGUUUAAAGGGAGCGUAGGUGGAUUGUUAAGUCAGUUGUGAAAGUUUGCGGCUCAACCGUAAAAUUGCAGUUGAAACUGGCAGUCUUGAGUACAGUAGAGGUGGGCGGAAUUCGUGGUGUAGCGGUGAAAUGCUUAGAUAUCACGAAGAACUCCGAUUGCGAAGGCAGUUCACUGGACUGCAACUGACACUGAGGCUCGAAAGUGUGGGUAUCAAACAGGAUUAGAUACCCGUGUAUC